AUGAGCCAGGGGCAUGGAAAGUAUGACUUACAUUGGUCUGGGAUUGGCUAUGAGUUCCAGUAUUUUCAUUGGAGGGAGUUUCAUUUUGAAAAAAAAAAAAGGCCUGCUGCGACUUGCCAGAAAAGGCUCCAUGAGAGCAGGUCAAGGUGGCCAUGCCUAUCUCAAAGAGUGAUGGUGGUGGGCUGGACUGCUGUCAAUGGCAGCUGCCAAGGUGGCCAACUUUGCUGCGUAUGCCCUUGCACCAGUCACCCUAGUGACUCCGUUAGGAGCACUCAGUGUCCUGGUAAGUGCCAUUCUUUCUUCAUACUUUCUAAAUGAAAGACUUAAUCUUCAUGGAAAAAUUGGAUGUUUGCUAAGUAUUCUGGGAUCUACAGUUAUGGUCAUUCAUGCUCCAAAAGAAGAGGAGAUUGAGACUUUAAAUGAAAUGUCUCACAAGCUAGGAGAUCCGGGUUUUGUGGUCUUUGCAACACUUGUGGUCAUUGUGUCCUUGAUAUUAAUCUUUGUGGUGGGACCUCGCCAUGGACAGACAAACAUUCUUGUGUAUAUCACAAUCUGCUCUGUAAUUGGGGCAGUUUCAGUCUCCUGUGCUAAAGGCCUGGGCAUUGCUAGCAAAGAGCUGUUUGCUGGAAAACCUGUGCUACAACAUCCCCUGACCUGGAUUCUGCUGCUGAGCCUUAUAGUCUGUGUGAGCACACAGAUUAAUUACCUGAACAGGGCCCUGGACAUAUUCAACACUUCUAUCGUGACUCCAAUAUAUUACGUGUUCUUUACAACAUCAGUUUUAACUUGUUCAGCUAUCCUUUUUAAGGAGUGGCAAGAUAUGCCUGUUGAUGAUGUCAUUGGUACUCUGAGUGGCUUCUUUACAAUCAUUGUGGGAAUAUUCUUGUUGCAUGCCUUUAAAGACGUCAGCUUUAGUCUGUCAAGUCUGCCUGUGUCUUUUCGGAAGGACGAAAAAGCAGUGAAUGGCAGUCUUUCUAGUAUGUAUGAAGUUCUUAAUAAUAAUGAAGAGAGCUUAACCUGUGGCAUUGAACAACACACUGCUAAAAAUAUCUCCGGAAGAAAUGGAAAUCUGACAGCUUUUUAGUAGGAGAGAUGUAAUUAAGCUAUAACUGAUAUAAAGUGAAUCUGAGUAUCAGAAUGUGUCUGAAAAAGCCUUGUUCUCAAAUGAUGUUCUCUAGAGACAAUCCUUUUUUUUUUUUUAAAGUUUCACUAAUUUGGACCAAGAAAUUACUUAUAUUUAAAUGAUGACUCAAUACAUGGCCAAUUUCUAUUAACAUUG